CCAAUAUUUCAGCCUCCGCCACCAUUCAAUUUCGGCUCUCACAUCUAACGCGUUCUUUAAUAGUCACCGGGGGUUACAGAAUAUAUUAUCGUAGAGUCAAACAAUCAUGGUGGCUUAACUAUUCUGAAUUCCAAUGCAUGCCAACAAAACAGAAAAACAAGUC